rnacentral:rRNA from 1 species
GACGAACGCUGGCGGCGUGCUUAACACAUGCAAGUCGAACGGGGCGCUUAUGACGGAGUUUUCGGACAACUGAUUAAGUUGCUUAGUGGCGGACGGGUGAGUAACGCGUGAGUAACCUGCCUUUCAGAGGGGGACAACAGUUGGAAACGACUGCUAAUACCGCAUAACAUGUACGGACCGCAUGAUCUGUACAUCAAAGAUUUAUCGCUGAAAGAUGGACUCGCGUCUGAUUAGAUAGUUGGCGGGGUAACGGCCCACCAAGUCGACGAUCAGUAGCCGGACUGAGAGGUUGAACGGCCACAUUGGGACUGAGACACGGCCCAGACUCCUACGGGAGGCAGCAGUGGGGGAUAUUGCACAAUGGAGGAAACUCUGAUGCAGCAACGCCGCGUGAGGGAAGAAGGAUUUCGGUUUGUAAACCUCUGUCAUUGGUGACGAUAAUGACGGUAGCCGAUGAGGAAGCUCCGGGCUAACUACGUGCCAGCAGCCGC